CAAACGGUCCUUUUCAGGACCAACCAUAUCUUUCCAGGAAAGCUAU
rfam:Lingula anatina scaffold487, whole genome shotgun sequence.